UCAGCGACUUAUAUUCUGUAGCAAGGUUAACCGUAUAGGGGAGCCGCAGGGAAACCGAGUCUUAACUGGGCGUUAAGUUGCAGGUAUAGACCCGAAACCCGGUGAUCUAGCCAUGGGCAGGUUGAAGGUUGGGUAACACUAACUGGAGGACCGAACCGACUAAUGUUGAAAAAUUAGCGGAUGACUUGUGGCUGGGGGUGAAAGGCCAAUCAAACCGGGAGAUAGCUGGUUCUCCCCGAAAGCUAUUUAGGUAGCGCCUCGUGAAUUCAUCUUCGGGGGUAGAGCACUGUUUCGGCUAGGGGUCAUCCCGACUUACCAACCCGAUGCAACUACGAAUACCGAAGAAUGUUAUCACGGGAGACACACGGCGGGUGCUAACGUCCGUCGUGAAGAGGGAAACAACCCAGACCGCCAGCUAAGGUCCCAAAGUCAUGGUUAAGUGGGAAACGAUGUGGGAAGGCACAGACAGCCAGGAUGUUGGCUUAGAAGCAGCCAUCAUU
rnacentral:rRNA from 1 species